UUACACAUUUUCCACUUGCAAUCCAACCUGGACUUGGGGAAGUACAUUUACGUAUAGCUUUCUGCAUUAAAGCACGAAAAAGAAAUGAAAAGUUUCAAAGUCAUUGUUUUUCUGUUUUUCAGCUUAUAUUUGAAAGGUUGUAUGCCAGGAGCCACAAACAAUGCGACUACAACUGUUGCAACAAACCAUUCAGUUUCAUCAUUAACAAGUGGCAAGCCAAUUUCAGGAGGUGUGACGACCAUACAAACUACAACUGAAGUGUCAAACAGCUCUUCAGCGACAAAUACGUCCACUAUUACAACAUCUGCAGGAAGUGAAAACUUCACAUCUGAAGUAACAAUCUCUGACAGGACUGAAACAACAGUUAAUACAAGCACUGGUGAUAAUUCAACAUCUUUCCCUGUGACUUCCAAUGGAUUGUAUUCUACUAUAUACAGUAUGUAUUCUACUACUACAACAUCCAGCAGCAAGGAAUCACUAGGUCCUACCCCUACUCCUACUACAAGUGGAACCAGCUCUUUGUCUGUACUAGCCUUUGCUGUGAUUAUCCUGAUCUUAAUCCUUGUAAUAGUUGUGGUGAUCCUCGUCAGUGUCAUCAGCCUGAGGUUUAAAUGCGGUGAUUGCCAGGAAGCACCACAAGAUACAAGUAAGACCCGGAAUGAAGCACCAUCAGAAAGCUCUCAAGUUAAUGGAGAAAAAGAAAGCAUCACUUUGGUUUCUAUGCGAAGUCUAUAUACGGAAGCUGGAGGACAGGAAUCAUCGAUGCAGGGAAAUCUUCAAAAUGACUCCAAUGAAGUUGAUGAGACAAGAAACAAUGUCAUCAAAUAGGUGAUACAAAGCUGGUGUAGAGGAGCAGCAGAAGUCAACGCGUAGAUAUGUACAAAAUACAGGAGCAUGCAACAUGGAAAGCUUUGUUUUCAUCUUACCCAGUAGGACAGGUUAUACAAGUCACUUGUAAUAAAGCAACUUCUGGAAACAUUCUCAUGUGAAAUCACAGACUGUUUUUCUGGGUGCAACUUUGACUAAAAUAAAUUUACAAUGAUCAUUUUGUCAUUA